UACGUAGGUGACAAGCGUUGUCCGGAUUUACUGGGCGUAAAGAGCUCGUAGGCGGCUUGUCGCGUCGACUGUGAAAACCCGCGGCUCAACCGUGUGGCUUGCAGUUGAUACGGGCAGGCUAGAGUUCGGUAGGGGAGACUGGAAUUCCUGGAUGUAGCGGUGAAAUGCGUAGAUAUCAGGAGGAACACCGGUGGCGAAGGCGGCUACCUGGACAGAAACUGACGCUGAGGCGCGAAAGCUAGGGGAGCAAACAGG
rnacentral:rRNA from 1 species